rnacentral:rRNA from 1 species
GACGAACGCUGGCGGCGUGCCUAAUACAUGCAAGUCGAACGCAGUGGGGACGGGUGAGUAACACGUGGGUAACCUCCCAUCAGAGGGGAUAACACUUGGAAACAGGUGCUAAAACGAUACUGAUGGAUGGACCAGAGUGGCAUUAGCUAGUUGGUGAGGUAACGUCUCACCAAGGCCACGAUGCAUAGCCGACCUGUGAGGUGGAUCGGCCACACGGGGACUGAGACACGGCCCAGACUCCGACGGGAGGCAGCAGUAGGGAUGCGUCGGAAAUGGACGAAAGUCUGAUCGAGCCACGACGCGGGUGUGAAGAAGGUUUUCGGAUUGUAAAACUCUGUUGUUAGUGAAGCGGUAUCUACCCAGAAAGCCACGGCUAACUACGUGCCAGCAGCCGCGGUAAUUC